rnacentral:rRNA from 1 species
AGAGUUUGAUCCUGGCUCAGGACGAACGCUGGCGGCACGCUUAACACAUGCAAGUCGAACGAGAGAAGAGAAGCUUGCUUUUCUGAUCUAGUGGCGGACGGGUGAGUAACACGUGAGCAAUCUGCCUUUCAGAGGGGGAUACCGAUUGGAAACGAUCGUUAAUACCGCAUAACAUAAUUGAACCGCAUGAUUUGAUUAUCAAAGAUUUAUCGCUGAAAGAUGAGCUCGCGUCUGAUUAGCUAGUUGGUAAGGUAACGGCUUACCAAGGCGACGAUCAGUAGCCGGACUGAGAGGUUGAUCGGCCACAUUGGGACUGAGACACGGCCCAGACUCCUACGGGAGGCAGCAGUGGGGAAUAUUGCACAAUGGAGGAAACUCUGAUGCAGCGAUGCCGCGUGAGGGAAGAAGGUUUUAGGAUUGUAAACCUCUGUCUUCAGGGACGAAAAAAAAGACGGUACCUGAGGAGGAAGCUCCGGCUAACUACGUGCCAGCAGCCGCGGUAAUACGUAGGGAGCGAGCGUUGUCCGGAAUUACUGGGUGUAAAGGGAGCGUAGGCGGGAUCGCAAGUCAGAUGUGAAAACUAUGGGCUUAACCCAUAAACUGCAUUUGAAACUGUGGUUCUUGAGUGAAGUAGAGGUAAGCGGAAUUCCUAGUGUAGCGGUGAAAUGCGUAGAUAUUAGGAGGAACAUCAGUGGCGAAGGCGGCUUACUGGGCUUUAACUGACGCUGAGGCUCGAAAGCGUGGGGAGCAAACAGGAUUAGAUACCCUGGUAGUCCACGCC